rnacentral:lncRNA from 1 species
GGUUUUACAGAUUCUUUAAUUAAGAGUUAAUUGGUGUUAGGGUUAGUUUUUAAAACUAAAUCCCUAAUAAGUGACCAAGUCAAUUGUUUCUAAGCCCAGAUCUCUUUCUCUUUCCGUUUCCAAUUGGGCUUGAAUAAAUGCAACCCAAUUAAGGGCCCAACUCUCAAUUUUUUUGGUAGGAGUCAGAUUCUCAGGGGCUCAUUUGGUUUUCUUUACUUUUCCUGAAACAUACACAUCAGAAGCGAAGCUUCUUUCCUUUCUCUUCUCCCUUUUCUUGCGAACAGCAGUGAGAAUGCAGUGAUGAGAGACGCGAUAAGGUUGCGGCGGAGGCGCGACGAUUGUGCGAGGACAUGGUCAUCCUGGCUUUUCUCGAUUCUCUUCGUGUUGGCUCGCAGGAAGGCGCGGCUAUUGCGCGGUGGAGGUGCAGGAAGGCGCGAUGAAGGCUCCUGCGUUCCGCGAAGAGAGACUCUACGUGUUGCAAUUAGGGUUUCGUUGGGGAUUUUGGAGUUUUCCUGUUCUCAUCUUCGAUUCUGAUUUUGGGGAUUUCUAGGAAUUCUUUUGAUUUGAGAUAUAAGGUUGAUUCGCAUUGAGUUAGGGAUUUGUGUUUUGUUUCGGUGUAUUGGGAUAGAGUUUCUGGUUCAUUUUGGCUUAGAUUUCUCGUCGUGAUUUUUAGGGCAGCAGCAACCGUUACGCGGUGGUUGGCAACGAAGUCGUGAUGGCUGCAGCUAGGUUGGCGGCGGCAAGCACUGUUGGUGGUGGCAAGCUAGGGUUUUGGUUUGGACUGGCAAUUUUUGGAUUCGAUUAACAGUUUGGGCCGCAGGCCCAAUGAGCAAAAACUUAACAUUUAACCAUAAUAAUCAGAAUUGCCAGGGACGUGUGCAAAAUUCAUAACUUUAAUUACUAAAAUUAAAGUGUAAAGGAAGAGAUGGUGUUAUUAUUUUAUAAUAUUAAUUCUUAUAAUUAUAAGAGGAAAAUUGUUAUUAUUUAAUUAGUAAUUAAUUGUAAUCAAAUUAAUUUAUUGGAAAGAGAAAUUAAUUUGAUUUGAAAAGGAAGGUAAUUAAA